UACGGAGGGAGCUAGCGUUGUUCGGAAUUACUGGGCGUAAAGCGCACGUAGGCGGCUAUUUAAGUCGGGGGUGAAAGCCCGGGGCUCAACCCCGGAACUGCCCUCGAAACUAGGUAGCUAGAAUCUUGGAGAGGCGAGUGGAAUUCCGAGUGUAGAGGUGAAAUUCGUAGAUAUUCGGAAGAACACCAGUGGCGAAGGCGACUCGCUGGACAAGUAUUGACGCUGAGGUGCGAAAGCGUGGGGAGCAAACAGG
rnacentral:rRNA from 1 species